UACGGGGGGAGCAAGCGUUGUUCGGAUUUACUGGGCGUAAAGGGCGCGUAGGCGGUCGUGACAAGUCACUUGUGGAAUCUCCGGGCUUAACUCGGAACGGUCAAGUGAUACUGUCGGACUAGAGUACAGAAGGGGCAACUGGAAUUCUCGGUGUAGCGGUGAAAUGCGUAGAUAUCGAGAGGAACACCUGCGGCGAAGGCGGGUUGCUGGGCUGAUACUGACGCUGAGGCGCGAAAGCUAGGGGAGCGAACGGG
rnacentral:rRNA from 1 species